GGGCCGGGACUCCCGGCUCUGACAGCUGAGACUUUCUGCUCUCGAAGUCCCGGGGAAGGGGAAGAUCUGGCUGCACCCGUUCGCGGUCAGUGAGCCUGGGAGUGCGGGCCAAAGCGAGUGCCCCGAGAAAGGACGGCCAAGGGGGUGUGUGCUGGGCCGGAACAACUGCGUGGUGGGGGGAGGGGAGAAUCUUUGUGUGCGUCUGAAGCGGGGAUCCCAGCCCCUCCGCCCAGACCAGGGGAAGCAUCGAUCCAUUGAUCCACCAGUCAGUCAAUCAAUGAUUUAUUAUGCACCUGCUGCGUGCCAGGCUCUCGAAGAAGCAGGGCAGGGCGCUACACGCAGGGGCCGGGCGGGAGGACUCCAUUUCCCAGAAUGCCUUGGUUCUGGCAUCACACAAGUCUUGGCCCCUCCCCCUGUCACCCCAAGGCAUUCUGCACAUUUCACGUGUAGUCUUAGCUCGGGGAAGGCUCACAGUUGCAGAUUUGGGACUUUUGCUGGGUGAGACAGGAAGGGGAAGGAGUCGAUGCCCAGGCGCGGCCCGGGCUCCCUGCCCUGACAGCUGACACUUUCUGCUCCCUAAUUCCUGGGCGGACCAGGCACACACAGAGGAAGUCUCCCCCCCUUGGGCUGCCACCCCCGGAAGGACCCCAAGGUGGCCCUGCAGAGAGCCCGCAGCCAGAGGGAGGCCCCCCCUCCCAGACUAAAACAACCCAAAGCUCUACCCACGGAAGAAUGGCUUUCUGAUACUAAAAAGGCACCAGCAGAACCUGAUGAUUUCUAUCCAUACCUUUUGAGGCAAAGAUCCCAAACAAAGUGGAGGAAGAAGCAGGAAGGAAUUAUCUGUGGAAUCUAUGAUGGGGAGAGGAGUUACUGACCGAAAAGGUCACUGAGGGGAUCACACAGGAGCCUAUUUUCUGUGAGCUGAGAGAUGAAUGACCAGCAGAGCUGUGUAUGGGUUGUUGUGUCCUCACCAGGGUCAGGCACUCAUCCGCUCCCUCACUCACCUGGCCAGCAUCUUCUUAGGACACCACCAGGUGGAAUCCAAUGUGGUUCCCCUGACUCCAGCUCAGAGAUCCUCACAUCUUGGUAGGAAUCAGCAAGGCCUAGUCAUGGGAAAGUGCAGAGUGAUGAAGAGGGAGAAUGAUCUCAGAAACCAAACCUCUCAGACUCUUAGAAACAAGCUAGUAAAGGACCCUGAGUGCCAUGCAGGAGCUCAGAAAAUAUCUCAAAGCUGAUCUGGUUUGUUUUCCUGGGAAGACACAGGAAUGGAACAAGGAAUGGAGAGGGGUUCUGAAAGACAAGGGUUCAUUUGAUCCAUUCAAUACUGAGGUAUUGGGAGCUUUCCUGACUUCAAGUAUGUAACAGUCCACACAUGUGUAUGUAUAAGAUAGAUGUUUGAUCUAUGGAAUUGUAUUAAGAAACGCAUGGUCAGACCUGUGCAUGGCAGUAAAGGUCUCGACCUUUGAUCUCAGCAUUCUUAACAUUCUGGCACGAAUCCAGGCUUCUUUGUCUUCACCUGGUUAGAAUACUCCAAGCCUGGAACUUGCCGUAAUUUACAUUUGAACCAAUGGCAAUCCACUGUGUGCUGUUGCAUAUGCAUUACGUACCUCUUACCUCAUUAUCCUAAUAAAAAAGGAGGAACAGCCAGAUAGACCCUCUUACCUUUCUUUUCUCUUACUUGGAACUUGGCUCCAGGAGCCAAGGAAUCACUCCCUCUAUGGAGCCCCAUUGUUCUCUCUAAAGAUCUUCUUUCUUUCAUCUUUCCUUCCUUCACACCUGACAGCAGGCCAGUGCAAACUGCACUCAGAGUUUAGGCUCUCAAUCUGUCAGCGGCUCCUUUUCUCAUCUGAUCUAUAAUCUCAUACCUGAUUCACGUAUUGUUGAUUAUUUUUAUCUUUCUUAAUGGUGUACCCUACAAAGAAAGAUAACAGGAGCUCAUCUGUGCGGUUCCUCCCUGCAAUCUGA